UCGCACCUACCGAUUGGAUGGUCCGGUGAAGCCUCGGGAUUGUGGUUUGGCUCCUUCAUUGGGGCUUGGCCGCGGGAACUUGUCUGAACCUUAUCAUUUAGAGGAAGGUG
rnacentral:rRNA from 1 species